rnacentral:rRNA from 1 species
UACGUAGGGUGCGAGCGUUGUCCGGAAUUAUUGGGCGUAAAGAGCUUGUAGGUGGUUUGUCGCGUCUGCUGUGAAAAUCCGAGGCUCAACCUCGGACUUGCAGUGGGUACGGGCAGACUAGAGUGUGGUAGGGGAGACUGGAAUUCCUGGUGUAGCGGUGAAAUGCGCAGAUAUCAGGAGGAGCACCGAUGGCGAAGGCAGGUCUCUGGGCCACUACUGACGCUGAGAAGCGAAAAGCAUGGGGAGCGAACAGG